UACGUAGGAGACGAGCGUUGUCCGGAAUACUGGGCGUAAAGCGCGUGUAGGCGGAUGGGCAAGUCUGCUGUGAAAGCUCCUGGCUUAACCGGGAGUGGUCGGUGGAAACUGCCAAUCUGGAGGACGGUAGAGGUAGGUAGAAUUCCCGGUGUAGUGGUGAAAUGCGUAGAGAUCGGGAGGAAUACCUGUGGCGAAGGCGACACUCUGGGCCGGUACUGACGCUGAGGAGCGAAAGCGUGGGGGAGCAAACAGG
rnacentral:rRNA from 1 species